rnacentral:lncRNA from 1 species
GCGCAGUCGCGCUCACCCGUGAGGCGUCGUGGUCUCGGGAGGUCAGGGAUUGGUACGCACAGGCACACCUAGUAGUUGUCAAUGCAACAAUGCUGUGAGCGCGCGCACGCGGUCUCUUCAGCUUUUUUACUCCGAUUCUUUUGUGUAUUUUUUUUUUCAAGAUAUGUGUUGAAUAUGUGUUGUGUAUUCUUUAUUAGAUAUGUGUCAAAUAUGUGUACAGUUGGUUACAUUGGACUUGAGUUGUAUUAGGGGCUAGGACAGAGUUGAAGUCAAACUCUUUAUCCUAGGAGGCCAUAAAUAUGAGAUCACCCCUGUUGCAACCAUGAGACGAUUUGGCGGCUGGUUUGGGUGGCGGCGAGGCCGCUGGAUCGUCCAGAUGCCGGUGUAGCUGUUGUUUAUGGGGAGGAGCGACCGUAGUCAUUGCCCCGAGGAUUAAGCAUAUCGCCGAACCUCGUUAAAAAGCAUCGUCCCUCGGUGUCGUUCUAGUUUGCGUAUUUUCUUUUAUGUUGAUUAUGCUUCCGCGUUUAUCGGUUAAUAGAUCCGUUUGGAUCUGGAACUAACCGUGCACUCUAACAAGUGGUAUCGGAGCCAGAUUCAUAUAAAAAGAUCAUGGGAGGUACGAUGGAUAUGUUCCAUACUGUGUAAGGCUCGUACGGGUGUGUGUGGAGAAGGACAUGCGACAAGGUGGAGCAUGGCGGCGAUCGACAACUCCAUCGAUGGAGUUGGAAACUUCGAGCGGGUGGUUUGGACCGUUCAAUGAGCUGCGAUCAACAGAAAUCGUUGUAGAUGUGGAGAUCGGGUUGAUGGCGGCAAGUGGUUGCUGUUCAACGGUGCGGCUGGAAGAAUUGUUAGAUUUAGUCCCACCAUCGGUAAUUGAUGGUGAAGGAGCACAACAUAUAAGGUGGGGGCAAUCCUCACCUAUCAGACUAGUCUUUUGGGUUGAGUUAGGCCCAAUGCCUAUGU